AUGAACGCCGCCUCCUCAAGCUCUCCGCCCGGGGCCUUCUUCUACUUCGAACCAGCUCCGUCCUCCGUGCCAAACAAGGUCUGCAUCACCACGCGCCUGCAUCCGCGAGGGAGACGAUGUCGAUGCCUCCCUGGUUCCUCUGCAAUGUACGCCCAUCCCCGACCGAUUCUGCAAAGACGCCGCCUGUCUUCUUCGUUCACAGCGAGCACGGCUGUUGUCCUGCUCGCGCGCGUCAAGUUCCUCUUAAUCUUGCUGCCAAGUCCAUGUUGCCUCGCCGCUGUACCCUGUCCUCAACCUCACCAGCAGGCCCCGCGCCUCCUUCCGUGCCGUCCAGGAACAGUGCUCGCCCGCCUCCAUGCUCGUUUUGGUUCGGGAGAGGAGCUCCCGUCCGCACCAUCCCAAGCCGGACCUCGCCGAUGA
rnacentral:rRNA from 1 species